rnacentral:rRNA from 1 species
AUGGCCACAGAGAGGGAAAUUCUGACACCUUUAAGAUUACGGGUGGCUCGGCUGAGAUCUAGUUUCUACGCUGACGAUGCGGCUCUCUUCAUUAACCCGGUGCCCCAAGACUUUGCUGUUUUCCAGGCUAUCCUUAAGGCUUUUGGGGAUGCCUCUGGGCUCUGUGCCAACAUUGAGAAGACAGUGGCGUAUCCCAUUUCUUGCUCUGGAAUCGAUAUUCAAAAUCUGAUGGCUGCUUUUCGCGGGGUGCAGGGAAGCUUCCCAUGCCAAUAUCUUGGCCUCCCACUUGGGUUUCGAAAGCCACGAAGAGCGGAAUUACAACCGGUUCUAGACAAAGUCGCGGGUAAGCUGGCUCCUAGGAAGGGAAGGAUGCUGAACAGGACGGAAGACUACUGUACAUCAAUUCAGUGGUUACGGCCACUGCCACCUUCUUCCUGA